GGGGAUGUUUAUCUCUCUGUCUCGUCUCUUACUUUGGUUUUCCAUAGAGCUCGACCAUAUAACACCCCUAAACUCAUCCUCAAGUCCUCCAUAUUUUCAACGAUACUAUCAUCCGAGGCACGAAAUCACGAAGUAAUAACACAACAACGAUCCCCACGACGUAAGUAUUGCUAUAUAACCUCUCUUUUUCUUUGUAGUUUGAGUUUUGGAAGGUAGUUUGAAGUUAAUAAAAAUGCCUAAUUUCUGGUUUCAAGAUCUUAAAUAUCAAGUAAGGUUGAUUAAUUCAUUUCAUAAUAUUUAGAACUCACGGGACGGUGAUCGGAAGCCGUGAGUUCGAGUUAUUUGAUUUGCAAUGGACUGUUUUGUGGGCUGUUUCGUGUAGCUUUUGAGCUGUAUAUUUUGCUGCUAUUUAAUGGAGUUUUUGGAGGAUAAAUGGUGUGGAGAAACACCACAUAUUGGUGAAAUAAUGGAUUAGUCAUUCUUUAUAAUACUUUCGAGGUGUUGGACACUACUAUAGUCGUUGUUUUUGGUAUGAAUUGAUUGGGGUAUGUUGGGCUGUUGUAAGUUAAAUAUAACAUGGAUUUCGACUUGCAUCUACUAUAGGAGGUAAUUAUAUUGUGUUCCAACAAGUUCUUAAGGUUAUAUUGACAUCGGUUGAGUUAAAUGGAUGAACUAGACAUGAACUAGUGAAUAAAGUUUCCAAUUAAGAAUAAUUGGAGUUGUGGAUCAUUUUCUUUGUUAUGGAUAUAUGAUAUAAGGCUGGAAUUACUGAUGAAUGACUUCAUUAUCAUGUUAAUGAUACUAUUAAGUUAAAGUAAAAAGUCUAUAAGGGAUGAUAUGGGGUAUACGAAUUCCAAUUGGAGCUUGUCGCUCGUCGUAAAAUAGUUAUGACUUGUUGUUGUUUUAUGGUGUCUUGUUAUUGAUGAUUAUGUAUUUCUGGAUUUCUCUGGUAAUUUUUGUGGGUAUAUUAUAUUGGAGGAGGCUCUUGUUACAGGGGAGAUGCUGCCCGAAUUUAUAUAAACGAGCUACAAGUUUAAGUUGCAGAUUUAGCCUUUGUUCAACACUGAUUUUGAAUCUCCUUAUGUAAUGGUGGAUUGAGUUGAGUUGUUUGAAGAGUAGCUUGGGAGGUAUUAAGGACUCACCAUGGUUAAGGUAUGUUAAGGCACUUUUUCUUUCUUUUGGCAUGAUCUAAAUUGAAAUGAACAUAAACGAUACACUAUUUCAUAAUGAAUCUACUCCUAGCAAAUAAGGUUGUACAUGUUGUUAUUUCCGUACAAAGUUAUUCUAAGAAGGUAUGUAUGAUCCUAGAGUCCUAGUGAAGUUCAUAUUGAUGGUAUGAUGUCCAUAAUGCUAAUCAAAGGUGAAACGACCUUACGUCACUCUGAAAGGUUUAGAACGUGAUUCCAUGAGUCUAGCAUGCAUUAUAUAUAAUAUCUAUUUUGAUCUACCGAGCUGCACUAUAGUAGGACAGGUACGACACCUAUUUUGCAACCACUGAUUAGUUGGAUUUACCGAGCUCCACGUGGCCGGGUACGUUUUUACCGAGUCCUCUUUGAGGCCGUGUACGAUAUGAUGAUGCCUACAGAGACGUAUGUUUUUAAAAGUUUAUGUAUAUAUAUGUAUUAUGCACUUCAUGUCAGUAGCUCCCAGAGGCACGCAGAUGUUACAGGUUGUAUAUCCUCUAUCUCUCUUUACAUUAAUGUUCUUGUUUUUGCUUUCCUGCCUUACAUACUCGGUACUUUAUUUGUACUGACGUCCCUUUUGCCUGGGGACACUGCGUUUCAUGCCCGCAGGUCCCGAUUGAUAGGUUGACAGUCUUCCUAGUAGGCUAUCAGCUCAGCGGAGGUGUUGGUGCACUUCACUUGCUCCAGAGUUGCCUAUUUGGUCAGUAUGCUUUGGAUAUGUAUUGAUUGGUAUGGCGGGCCCUGUCCCGACCUUUAUGAUUUUAUGUACUCUUAGAGGUUUAUAGACAGAUAUCAGGUUUAUGGAUACGUGUAUGGCCUUAUUGGCCUAUGUGUUGAGUUUACAAAUGGUCAUGUCGUCCUUAUAGACCUGUAUGUCACAUGUAUAAGUUUGUAUAUCAUGUUGGAUCGUCAUAUGUUGAGUAUUCCCUUAUGAUUUAUUCUUGCUAUCUCAUGACGGGUUUCUGGCUCAUUUACUUAAGAUAGUGUAAUAAGAAAGAUAUGUUAUGUUGGCACUCGGUUGAGUUAGGCACCGGGUGCCCUUCACGGCCCUUCGGUUUGGAUCGUGACAUUAUUCCUCAAUUCUUGCACAAAAACUUGAAGAUUGUCAAGUAAAGUUCACUAAGUUUUCACCUUAAAGGUAAGAAUUUAUGCCCUAGCUCUUAAUUUCGAAAUUUCUACUAAAAUGGGUAAUUAGCAAGAUGGUUCAUGGGCUGAGGGUUGUUUGUUUUGCAUGUAUGGGUGAUAAAAGAAUGUAGAAAGAAUGUGAGCUAGAAAUGGUAAAGGAUGGGGUGUGAGUUGAUAGAAUCUUUCACAAAAAGGUCUUAAAAACAUAAUGCGCACCUAGUGCUUGAUAAUGUGCUCAAAUGAGCUAGAGUCUUGAUCAUCCUUCUAAUUCUUGAAUCAACUUGUGACAUUCCUACAAUAGAUUGAAGGUGCUAAGGGUUCGGGAAUUUAUUGUAGAACUUAAGGAAAGCUCUAUUGAGGCAUGUAUAGCUAAAACCCCCUCUUCUUAGAAAUUAAACCCCCUUGGUGUCCAUGCAAUUGGUGUAAGUUCCAAAAUUGAUUGAUGAAUAAAUUGCUAUUCCAAAUGUGCUUGUGUUGCAAGAAUAUAUGUGCAAUAUGUAUUUCAAUGCUCCCAUUAUGCUAUCUUGUCAUUUGAGGAUGUGUUAAAGAUAUGGAAUAUGUGCUAAAAUGCCUAGACUUCAAGUCGAGUUUGAAUAAAGAUUGUUAUGCCAAAGUAUGUGAAAGCCUCUAUAUACCUAUGAUCUGUAAUUGCUCUCGUGUGUACUCAAUAUCUUAAAUUGAAAGGCUUGUUUGUUGAAAAUUAUAAUAAUGUGAAAUGUGGGAAAGAACUUGCAUUAUGAAAUACGCCAAGAGCCAAGGUAUAAUAUAACAAUUGUGGUCACUAGGGCCGAUGACUUGAUAUAUGUGAAAGAAAUAUGAAAUGAGAGGAUCGAUGGAAAAUGGUAAUAUCUUGGGUGAGACGGCCUAGCCGAUCGGGCCGUGAUCGGACGCCAUGCCGCAUAUAUGGUGGUAGUGUGCUGGAAACUGAAAUUGAAAAUUGAAACUGGAAUUGUGAUUGUGGUGAAUGUCUCCAAUGAGACGACCUAGCCGAUCGGGUUGUGAUCGGACUCCGUAUAAAAGUACGGUGGUAUUGUGAAUGAUGAGGUAUAGAUACUAAUGAUGUCCCAAUUUAAAGCUAUGGAAAAUUCACUUGAAAGCUUAUGUGAUCCUUAAAUUUGGUGCUGUGGUGUUGUUUAAGGCCUUUAUUGAGUUUAUGAUUACUUCCUUCGUGUAUUAUUAUUCUUUCUAAGGAGAUGGUAUUUAGUUAUACAUACUAGUACCAUUCAACGGUACUAACGUCGCUUUUGCCGGGGACGCUGCGUCUUAAAUGGAAUGCAGGUGAUUCCGUAGCGGGCAUUGCUGACCAGCGUUAGCUGUACAUCAUCCUCUUCCGGCAGUAUUGGUGAGCCCUAUUUCAUUUUGGGGUUAUGCAUCUUUUGUCCAUAUUUCACCAUGUUCUGAGGUACUGCCGGGGCCUUGUUGCCGGCGUUGUUAUGACUCACUUUUGUAUCUUUAGAGGCUCCGUAGAUACUAUGUGGGUUGUAUAUGGGUAUUGGAAGGGUCAGUGGAUUGUGUUGUGUUUUGGACCCUUGUUCCUUCAAAUUGUAAAGUGUAUGUAAUUUUACAAACAUACCAAUGAUGUAACAAAUGAAUCGAUUUGGAAACGUUUACAAAUCUUCCUAUUGUAUAAUUAAUAAUAACCUGUUUUCUUGA
rnacentral:lncRNA from 1 species